CUGCUGCCUUCCGUAGGAGUCUGGUCCGUGUCUCAGUACCAGUGUGGGGGACCUUCCUCUCAGAACCCCUACGCAUCGUCGCCUCGGUGGGCCGUUACCCCGCCGACUAGUUAAUGCGCCGCAUGCCCGUCCCCCGCCGGAAUCGCUUCCUUUGGCCGCAGACCCAUGCAGGUCCGCGGCGUUACGCGGUAUUAGUCGGGAUUUCUCCCGGUUAUCCCCCUGCGGGGGGCAGGUCGCAUACGUGUUACUCACCCGUGCGCCGGUCGCCGGCAGGCGAAG
rnacentral:rRNA from 1 species